AACGCAAAUUGCGCCUUCUUUCGGAAGGCAUGUCUGUUUGAGGGCACCAUUUAACAAAUAAUGUGCGCGUCGUUUACGGACGACGUGCGCACGUUGAUGAGCUUUUCCGAAAAAACCAGGUUUUUUUGGUGGCGCAUAAUGAACAGCGUGGGCUUUUUCUUCGAUUCUCGUGUAGUAAAAUUUCAAAAACAACGCUUGGGUUGAGAAAAAGUGCGUGCCGCGCAAUGGGUGUGGCGAAUUUUACCCCUGCCCCAAUGCCACUCUUUCCCUGCGAAAGAACAUCUUUUAUUCAGGGCCUCAAAUCAGACAAGAGUACCCGCUGAACUUAA
rnacentral:misc_RNA from 1 species